CCUACGGGGGGCAGCAGUAGGGAAUAUUGCGCAAUGGGCAAAAGCCUGACGCAGCAACGCCGCGUGAGGGAGACGUCCUCCGGGGGGUAAAGAUCUGUUAGUGGGGACGAAACCUGACGGUACCCACAGAGGAAGCACCGGCUAACUCCGUGCCAGCAGCCGCGGUAAUACGGGGGGUGCAAGCGUUGUCCGGAAUCAUUGGGCGUAAAGAGUUCGUAGGCGGGACGUAAAGUCCGGUGGUAAAGGCAGGGGCUCAACUUCUGUACGGCACUUGAUACUGGCGGGCUAGAGUGCGGUAGAGGUAAGGGGAAUGCGUGGUGUAGCGGUGAAAUGCUUAGAUAUCAGGAAGAACAUCGGUGGCGUAGGCGCUUUACUGGGCCGUAAUUGACGCUGAGGAACGAAAGCCAGGGUAGCAAAUAGGAUUAGAUACCCGUGUAGUC
rnacentral:rRNA from 1 species